UGGGAAAAAUUGUGUCUUCCUUAUUUCUAUGCAGUUAUUAUACGACUUAUGAUUUAUGUUUUGCAUUUAAUAUUUUAUGUCUUGUCUUACUGUAUGCAUUUGGCAUUUCACCUGUUUUGUUCAAUGAUUGUCUCUGCCUGAUAGACUCUCGUCUCAAGCCUCCAAAACCCAAGGCUAGGGUGUUGUGUCUCCCUGUAUGUUGAGACUUGGUGCUCCUUUCUCACAGAUGCAGGUGUGAGAAAGUAAAAAUCUUCACACACUGCGUCUGGGAGGAGAGGCCUGUAAUUUGAUUGGGCUAGACAGACAUUCCACCCUAGUUGGACAGAGAAGCUAAAAGGCAGAAACAACUUGAGGAUUGUGUGAUCUUUGCAUUAUACCUCCGUGGUGUAUGUUCUGAUCUCCCCAGCUGGCUUUUUAUUUGCUUUCCUCAUUAUUGUUAUUUUCUUUAUUAUUUCAAUAAAUCGCACAAAAGGACAACUCUCUCUCAUCUGCCUUUAUUGCAAAAAUUCCACCACAGAAAUUGGCGUUGUCGGCAGGAUCCCGCGGCAGGUCGUCUGGACGGCGUGAUCAGGGACGGCGGUCCUGAGGACUAGGUUCGCUCAGCCUCCAAACCUCUACAGCAGUUCUGAGUGGGAGGACUGCUCACCCGUCUGGAUCGCCUCUGACGAGAUCCAACGAACUCAAAAUCCAACCUCUACUCUGCCCGGUGAGAGAGAUUCCGUUUUGUUGCGACUUAUUGAGGAAAAAAAAAAAGAAAACGGGUUUGAAAUUGGUUUCAUUACUUGGCUCUGAUCAUUUGGUUUAGGGAAAGUAAGGCAAAUAACAAUUAAUUCUAAGCAUCCCCUACUAGACUAAAACAAACAACGAUAAAGGAAAAAUAUAACUAGGACUAGAGAUAAUAAUAUUUCUAAAACGACUAUUUGGCUCAAAACAUCCAAAAAUAAUAUAUAUAUAUAUUUUUUUUUAAUUUUAAAUUCAAUAUUCGGGUAAAAUUAAUUAGGUCAAAGUCUGCCCUGGUGGUCGAGACGGUGGUUGCUAAGGGUUGGCUCGUGGGACCGAGCUUGUUUUGUCUGUACUGAGGAUACAGACCAGUGUGCAGAUCUGAGCGCAGUCCAGAGGGAGUGGACAAGGAAAUAAAAGACGGCUUCUGUAAGACGGAGCGCGUUUGCAGGGGGAAGUGGUUUUGAGAUACGAGGGACCCGGGUCUUAGAGGGGCCUGACGGUGAGGGACCACUUCCGAGAACCCUGUCGCUGAUCUGAGCGGUUCCCUUUCUACGGAGACGUCCGUGGAAGAGAAAUUUCGAAAAAAGGUUCCGGCCGGAACACAUGAAAAUCUAAGGCAGGAAACCGCCGGGACUCUGAAAGAUGGGUUCGGGGCAAUCUAAGUCUCCACCACCAGACUGCAGCAUUACAAAAUUAAUGAGACGUAAAUAUGGUGAUGAGUGCGUGUCAUGUCUUCACGACUGGACAAAACAUUAUGGGUUUCAAGAAGGUGGAUCACUCAGUGUGAAGGACAUACGCGCUUUAAAAGAAAAAUUAGAAGAAAAGGAGAAACAGCUCCGUAAAAGCAAAACAAUUAAAGUUAAAACUUUAGAGGAAAUUGAAUUAAAUAAUAGAUGCCUUGAAAUAUGGGUUAAAGAAUUCGAACGCAGGGAAAGAUUAAAAUGCCAAAAAGAACUAGGAGGGAGAAAGGAUGAGAGUGGUGACGUAGCUGGCAGAAAAGAUAACAACUCUGUGGAAGCUUGCACACCGCCACCAUACACACAUACACACACACAACAUGAUGAGAAACAGAGCGCUCCCACUGUUUCUGCUUUGUAUCCUUUUGCAGAGCUGAGCGCGGUCAAGGUGAAUCCCGACCUGGACUCCUUCUACGUCAGCAGGAAGGCCGGGCAGGGUGGACAGCAGGAUCAACAGCCUGACCAACAGCAACUGCCUGCCCCGCAUCAACAGCCUGCACCACUGCAGCAGCCUGGCCCACAUCAACAGCCUGGCCAACCUCUGUUAUCAGGAGCUGCAACAUCGGCUGCAGAGCAGUCAGAGCAUGUGGAGGACAGUGUAAAUGCCACACCAACUCCUGGAAUGGAUGUAGAGGCGUUCUGGGCCAAUUCACCUGUCGGCUUCAUUCCUACAUCAUCCACUGCCACAGGCUCUGCCCAUGCACCAACUGCCACUACGAGUGCUGCCUCUGCAACUACCAGCGUUCGUACCCUAAGGAGCAACACACCAGUAGCUCCAGUAAUCAGCUUGCCCAUGGUGGAAGUGGCCGGCCCUGAAGGAAGCAUGUUAGUGCACAGACCAUGGACUAGCGCUGACAUAGCUGACUUUGCUCAAAAUCUCCCAGACAUCACUGUAUCAGGAAAGACAUUCGGUGCCAACCUUCUGGCUUUCUGCCAGGAGUACAGACCCACUGGAGCUGAGAUCCGUCGCAUCCUGGCCAAACGUCUUGCACCUUGUGAAUACCAAAAGCUGGCUAGACAAUUGCCUGAUGUGACACUGGCUCUCAAACACAAAGACUGGACAAACAACUUAAAUGAUGGAUUCGUUACCGCAGUGAGGACGCUUGUUGCCCACCUCGAAACUGCGUUCCCUGAUAAAGUCUGUAUGAUUAAAGUCACUACAUGCAAACAACAACCAGAGGAAUCAGUUGAUGACUUUGUUCACCGCCUCACCACUACAUACAACACACACGGAGGAGUUCAUCCUCCCCCUGAAGGAGUGGGAGGACUCGUUUGUUCAACAUACGAGAGUCACCUGUGUGAACUGGUGAUGAAAGGCUUACUCCCUGAAGUUUUUGACGCCGUGAAGCAGUCAUACAUCGGAUGGAAAGAAGAAGCGCGUCUGUCUGACCUCACAAGACACGCACGCCAUGCUUAUGACACUCUUCAGCAGAGGAAGAUGGCGAAGAAGGAAAAACAACAGAGCGAAUUGUAUCUGCCAUCCUUGGAGAUGUUCUCUGCAAUGCAUAACAAUAACAGAGGAGCGGGCAGGUUUCGCGGGCGAGGAAGAAGAGACUUCAGACGGAAUUGGCCCAACAGAGACACAGGAGGCGCAUCUGGAGAUCCAGGAAACGCUUGCCACAUCUGUGGCGAGAUGGGACAUUGGAAGAAGCACUGCCCCCGGCUACGUCAGGUUCCACCCUCCCGGGCACUCUCGUCAGACUGACUAGAGGAGGAGCCCAGCGAAGGUUUCCGUUCACAUGAUGACGUAGACGGAGUCAUCGUCCCAUGUGACAACUCUCCAGUGAGGACUCCACUCUUCCCAGUUAAGAAAAUCAGAGACAAAGGACAGCCAACAGAAUGGAGGUUUGUCCAGGAUCUGCAAGCAGUAAAUGCGGCGGUCCAACCACGCGCGCCUACGGUGAAAGCGGCUCUGCCCAAACAGGCGACAGAACCACUGCACAUAUUUCAACCAGGAGACUGGGUGAUCAUUAAGGAGCUUCGCAGGAAGCACUGGAACUCAAAGCGGUGGCAAGGUCCCUUCCAAGUCCUUCUGACGACCAACACGGCUGUGAAGAUCGCAGAAAGAGCGACUUGGAUCCACUCCAGCCACUGCAGGAAGGUCCCGGAUCCGACAGACGACCCUCCAUCUACAUCUACACCACACGAGAAAUCCACCACUGACGAAAAGAACUGAGAAGGACGACCCUCGCUGUGCUCACACACGCACUGAGGCGAGGCUGCGUUGACCGUUCAGCUAAAGGUGUGAGCCAAGCGCCGCCUGAAGCUGCGCCGGUGAAUCACACUGUCAGACCAUACAUCUACACACACGUUCCUGAGAAAACACACACACGAGCAGCCUUGAGUUGCCGACGCUGGACGACGUGUAGACUCUUCACAUCACGGGAGUGACAGUGACUCAGACGACAUUGGGAGGAAACCUGGCGGUGAUAACGAAUCCCAAGUGUCUCUGUGAUCAGCUGAUCACAACCUGAAGAACCCCAACAAACUGUCAAGGUGUCAACAAACAGGUUGGAAACAAUCUAACGCUACUAUUCAACAGGAAGAAGAAGACACUGAUUGUGACCCUGUUGCUUUGAUCCUUAUUGUAUGUUACUUUAAUAUUUGCUCUAAAUUGUGUGGUUGAUUUACAUGUAUACCUCUCUGUGAUUUCAUCCACUAUUCUUAAACAAAGCAUUUUAUGCUUCCACUUGAUUCACACUUUCACACAAAUUUUUAUCUUCCACUGACACAAAAUGGCAUUCACCAGACGAAACCUGAUAAAAAUGAUUGUCAUAUCAACCAUUGCGGUGACAUGUGUGACCUUCCCGUACUUCUGGAGAACUCACACAUUUGUUCACUGAAGAUCCAAGCGCGAUAUCAGCGGCGCUUUCGUACCAAAUGACACAAUGCACUACAUUCAGGAAUCCAGAUACCGAUUCACUCAUUGGUUCUGAUGCUGACUCUGUAGAGGAUGAUGUUGACAACGAGGACCACAAAGACUCCGAUGAUGAUGGUAGUGACACAGAGACUGACGCCACAAUAGUUUAAAUCAACAUAUAACCCUCUUCCUAUUUUUGCUUGACUGAACGUGAUCUGAUUGAUUAUAGGCUUAUGUCCCUGUCUUUCCAAAGCUCAUACACAAGGGUUAUUCUAGUAUAACUACCCACAAAAACAGCUCACGAUCUUUUAUCCCUACGCCAUUUACAUUUGUAUAAGCAAUACGAUUAACGAAUCACAUGUUUGACAAUUUUUCUUCUUAGUGCUUGAUUAAUGUGUAAUCAAAGGGGGGAGUGUCAUGGGAAAAAUUGUGUCUUCCUUAUUUCUAUGCAGUUAUUAUACGACUUAUGAUUUAUGUUUUGCAUUUAAUAUUUUAUGUCUUGUCUUACUGUAUGCAUUUGGCAUUUCACCUGUUUUGUUCAAUGAUUGUCUCUGCCUGAUAGACUCUCGUCUCAAGCCUCCAAAACCCAAGGCUAGGGUGUUGUGUCUCCCUGUAUGUUGAGACUUGGUGCUCCUUUCUCACAGAUGCAGGUGUGAGAAAGUAAAAAUCUUCACACACUGCGUCUGGGAGGAGAGGCCUGUAAUUUGAUUGGGCUAGACAGACAUUCCACCCUAGUUGGAUAGAGAAGCUAAAAGGCAGAAACAACUUGAGGAUUGUGUGAUCUUUGCAUUAUACCUCCGUGGUGUAUGUUCUGAUCUCCCCAGCUGGCUUUUUAUUUGCUUUCCUCAUUAUUGUUAUUUUCUUUAUUAUUUCAAUAAAUCGCACAAAAGGACAACUCUCUCUCAUCUGCCUUUAUUGCAAAAAUUC